rnacentral:rRNA from 2 species
CACGCCCUAAACGAUGUCAACUAGUUGUCGGGUCGUCAGACUCGGUAACGCAGCUAACGCGUGAAGUUGACCGCCUGGGGAGUACGGUCGCAAGAUUAAAACUCAAAGGAAUUGACGGGGACCCGCACAAGCGGUGGAUGAUGUGGAUUAAUUCGAUGCAACGCGAAAAACCUUACCUACCCUUGACAUGUCUGAAAGUUUCCAGAGAUGGAUUCGUGCUCGAAAGAGAAUCAGAACACAGGUGC